CUUACAUUAAUAUUUAGAGAUUACGUUCUCUUAUGUAAACGUUACAUCCUAGCAAGAGGAAAAGGUGCUUAAGACAGAGUGUUUCGUAGUCGAGGGCGUAUGCUUCUCCAGAGCAGAAAGCCUCAUGAACUACGGAAGUGUGCCUCUGUAACGAACAGAAAGCCUUCAUUAAUGGCUAUGUGUCCUUUCACACCCUUUUCGUACCUAUUUUGUGUGCACUUUACUUUUUGUAGCAGACUAUGCUUUGACUUGCUCUUCUUCCAUGUUUUGGUUGGUGCAUUGGCUUAUACUUAUGCCCCGGAUCACGCUUGUGAAGUAUCCAAUAAUUUAUCUUUUUUAUUUUUUGAGUAUGAUAGUUAAUAUUUUUUGGUAAUUUAAAUAAAUUGGAUA
rnacentral:lncRNA from 1 species